UAGAUAGCAUGCUGUCAGUAUAACCCCUUUGGGGAAACUGCGGAUGGCUCAUUAAAUCGGUUGGAAUCUACAUGAACACCCCCAGUACGUGGAUAACCACAGAAAAUCUGCGGCUAAUACAUGCUUUACUGUGCGGUCUUUUCUGAUCGUACUGCGUACAUUAGUUCCAAAAUCAACUUUAUUUGGGUGAUUCAUGAUGUCUAGGCGAAUCGUAUGACCUUGUGUCGACGAUGAUUCAUUCGACUUUCCGCCCUAUCAACUUUGGAUGGUAGUGUAGUGGACUACCAUGGUUGUAACGGGUGACGGGGAAUUAGGGUUCGAUUCCGGAGAGGGAGCCUGAGAGAUGGCUACUACUUCCAAGGAAGGCAGCAGGCGCGCAAAUUACC
rnacentral:rRNA from 1 species